rnacentral:rRNA from 1 species
UGAGAUGUUGGGUUAAGUCCCGCAACGAGCGCAACCCUUGAUCUUAGUUGCCAGCAUUUGGUUGGGCACUCUAAGGUGACUGCCGGUGACAAACCGGAGGAAGGUGGGGAUGACGUCAAAUCAUCAUGCCCCUUAUGACCUGGGCUACACACGUGCUACAAUGGAUGGUACAAAGGGUAGCGAAGCCGCAAGGUGGAGCCAAUCCCAUAAAACCAUUCUCAGUUCGGAUUGUAGGCUGCAACUCGCCUACAUGAAGCUGGAAUCGCUAGUAAUCGCGGAUCAGCAUGCCGCGGUGAAUACGUUCCCGGGCCUUGUACACACCGCCCGUCACACCACGAGAGUUUGUAACACCCGAAGUCGGUGGGGUAACCUUUUGGAGCCAGCCGCCGAAGGUGGGAUAGAUGAUUGGGGUGAAGUCGUAACAAGGUAA